CCCAGUCCUUAGCAUUCUCUAGAGAAA
rnacentral:piRNA from 1 species